CUACUUGUGAAUCGAAACUAUAUAUUUUGCUGAGCCCAUUUCGUCCUAUACUCUUUUAUAUCUUUUCUGUUCUUUUUAAUUUUUUUUAGAUUACUAAUAAUAUAUGCAAAGUUCAAAAAAGACGUUUUUAACUAGGGAGAUUGUUAAAAAUCUUUCGGUACAAAUCAAAAGGACAUUCUGAUCAAAAAAGUGCAAGAGAAUUUAUUAGUUUAUUGUGGAGGCAGUUCGAGAAAAGGUUAUCUUUCUUGCCAGUACACAUUUUAUGUCAGUUUUGACCAACGGAUCACAGGCGUGAAAAA